AUGAACGCUAGCUACAGGCUUAACACAUGCAAGUCGAGGGGCAGCAUGGUCUUAGCUUGCUAAGACUGAUGGCGACCGGCGCACGGGUGAGUAACACGUAUCCAACCUGCCGUCUACUCUUGGACAGCCUUCUGAAAGGAAGAUUAAUACAAGAUGGCAUCAUGAGUCCACAUGUUCACAUGAUUAAAGGUAUUCCGGUAGACGAUGGGGAUGCGUUCCAUUAGAUAGUAGGCGGGGUAACGGCCCACCUAGUCUUCGAUGGAUAGGGGUUCUGAGAGGAAGGUCCCCCACAUUGGAACUGAGACACGGUCCAAACUCCUACGGGAGGCAGCAGUGAGGAAUAUUGGUCAAUGGGCGCAGGCCUGAACCAGCCAAAUAGCGUGAAGGAUGACUGCCCUAUGGGUUGUAAACUUCUUUUAUAAAGGAAUAAAGUCGGGUAUGCAUACCCGUUUGCAUGUACUUUAUGAAUAAGGAUCGGCUAACUCCGUGCCAGCAGCCGCGGUAAUACGGAGGAUCCGAGCGUUAUCCGGAUUUAUUGGGUUUAAAGGGAGCGUAGAUGGAUGUUUAAGUCAGUUGUGAAAGUUUGCGGCUCAACCGUAAAAUUGCAGUUGAUACUGGAUAUCUUGAGUGCAGUUGAGGCAGGCGGAAUUCGUGGUGUAGCGGUGAAAUGCUUAGAUAUCACGAAGAACUCCGAUUGCGAAGGCAGCCUGCUAAGCUGCAACUGACAUUGAGGCUCGAAAGUGUGGGUAUCAAACAGGAUUAGAUACCCUGGUAGUCCACGCCGUAAACGAUGAAUGUUAGCCGUCGGGCAGUAUACUGUUCGGUGGCGCAGCUAACGCAUUAAACAUUCCGCCUGGGGAGUACGGUCGCAAGAUUAAAACUCAAAGGAAUUGACGGGGGCCCGCACAAGCGGAGGAACAUGUGGUUUAAUUCGAUGAUACGCGAGGAACCUUACCCGGGCUUAAAUUGCAUUUGAAUAUAUUGGAAACAGUAUAGCCGUAAGGCAAAUGUGAAGGUGCUGCAUGGUUGUCGUCAGCUCGUGCCGUGAGGUGUCGGCUUAAGUGCCAUAACGAGCGCAACCCUUAUCUUUAGUUACUAACAGGUCAUGCUGAGGACUCUAGAGAGACUGCCGUCGUAAGAUGUGAGGAAGGUGGGGAUGACGUCAAAUCAGCACGGCCCUUACGUCCGGGGCUACACACGUGUUACAAUGGGGGGUACAGAGGGCCGCUACCACGCGAGUGGAUGCCAAUCCCCAAAACCUCUCUCAGUUCGGACUGGAGUCUGCAACCCGACUCCACGAAGCUGGAUUCGCUAGUAAUCGCGCAUCAGCCACGGCGCGGUGAAUACGUUCCCGGGCCUUGUACACACCGCCCGUCAAGCCAUGGGAGCCGGGGGUACCUGAAGUGCGUAACCGCGAGGAGCGCCCUAGGGUAAAACUGGUGACUGGGGCU
rnacentral:rRNA from 1 species